UACGUAGGGAGCAAGCGUUGUCCGGAAUCAUUGGGCGUAAAGCGCGCGUAGGCGGCCCCGUAAGUCCGCUGUGAAAGUCAAAGGCUCAACCUUUGAAAGCCGGUGGAUACUGUGGGGCUAGAGUCCGGAAGAGGCGAGUGGAAUUCCUGGUGUAGCGGUGGAAUGCGCAGAUAUCAGGAGGAACACCAAUUGCGAAGGCAGCUCGCUGGGACGUCACUGACGCUGAGACGCGAAAGCGUGGGGAGCAAACAGG
rnacentral:rRNA from 1 species